rnacentral:rRNA from 1 species
GCUUUCUUGCUGACGAGCGGCGGACGGGUGAGUAAUGUAUGGGGAUCUGCCCGAUAGAGGGGGAUAACUACUGGAAACGGUGGCUAAUACCGCAUAAUGUCUACGGACCAAAGCAGGGGCUCUUCGGACCUUGCACUAUCGGAUGAACCCAUAUGGGAUUAGCUAGUAGGUGGGGUAAAGGCUCACCUAGGCGACGAUCUCUAGCUGGUCUGAGAGGAUGAUCAGCCACACUGGGACUGAGACACGGCCCAGACUCCUACGGGAGGCAGCAGUGGGGAAUAUUGCACAAU